UACAGAGGGGGCAAGCGUUAUUCGGAAUUAUUGGGCGUAAAGGGCGCGUAGGCGGCCUGGCAAGUGGAAGGUGAAAUCCCUCGGCUUAACCGAGGAACUGCCCUCCAAACUGCUUGGCUUGAGACCGGGAGAGGUGAGUGGAAUUCCCAGUGUAGCGGUGAAAUGCGUAGAUAUUGGGAGGAACACCAGUGGCGAAGGCGGCUCACUGGACCGGUACUGACGCUGAGGCGCGGAAAGCGUGGGGAGCAAACGGGG
rnacentral:rRNA from 1 species